rnacentral:miRNA from 1 species
CACGCCCACAAGUCCUCCU